AAUGGGGGAAACCCUGAUGCAGCGAUGCCGCGUGAGUGAAGAAGGCCCUUGGGUUGUAAAACUCUUUCGUCGGGGAAGAAAAUGACUGUACCCGAAUAAGAAGGUCCGGCUAACUUCGUGCCAGCAGCCGCGGUAAUACGAAGGGACCUAGCGUAGUUCGGAAUUACUGGGCUUAAAGAGCUCGUAGGUGGUUAAAAAAGUUGAUGGUGAAAUCCCAAGGCUCAACCUUGGAACUGCCAUCAAAACUUUUUAGCUAGAGUGUGAUAGAGGUAAGUGGAAUUUCUAGUGUAGAGGUGAAAUUCGUAGAUAUUAGAAAGAACACCAAAUGCGAAGGCAACUUACUGGGUCACUACUGACACUGAGGAGCGAAAGCAUGGGUAGCGAAGAGGGUU
rnacentral:rRNA from 1 species